AAGGAGUCGUCUUCGUCUGCGAGUGUUCGGGUGUAAAACCCCUACGCGUAAUGAAAGUGAACGUAGGUGAGAGCUUCGGCGCAUCACCGACCGAUCCUGAUGUUCUCGGAUGGAUUUGAGUAAGAGCAUACGGGGUCGGACCCGAAAGAAGGUGAACUAUGCCUGUAUAGGGUGAAGCCAGAGGAAACUCUGGUGGAGGCUCGCAGCGGUUCUGACGUGCAAAUCGAUCGUCAAAUAUGGGCAUGGGGGCGAAAGACUAAUCGAACCUUCUAGUAGCUGGUUUCCGC
rnacentral:misc_RNA from 1 species